GGAGCUUUGGCGGUGUGGUGGUUAAGCAUUUGGCUACUAACCAAGAGAUCGGUGGUUUGAAUCCACCAGCUGCUC
rnacentral:tRNA from 1 species